rnacentral:rRNA from 1 species
UACGUAGGGCGCAAGCGUUAUCCGGAAUUAUUGGGCGUAAAGAGCUCGUAGGCGGUUCGUCGCGUCGGCUGUGAAAACCUGAGGCUCAACCUCAGGCCUGCAGUCGAUACGGGCGGACUUGAGUACUGCAGGGGAGACUGGAAUUCCUGGUGUAGCGGUGAAAUGCGCAGAUAUCAGGAGGAACACCGGCGGCGAAGGCGGGUCUCUGGGCAGUAACUGACGCUGAGGAGCGAAAGCGUGGGGAGCGAACAGG